rnacentral:piRNA from 1 species
AGUCCUCUCAUUGCUCAAACAAGCCUUGU